CAAUGGCAGAGCUGGGAUCUGAACCCAGGUCUCUAGAUUCCCAGCCCAGGCCUCUUUAAAUUUCUGCUUACCUGGGAACCCAUCACAAGAUGUCAAUACCCAUUGUCCUCAACAUAUAUAGUUACUGAUAGUGCCAAAUGGAAGGCUAAAUAUUAUAAACCUGGUGAGUCCCUUUCCCUGUGCUGGAGACCGGAAAGCUGGGAAGGGGGAAACAAAGGAAAGAAGAAAUCAAGCCCUAGUUUUGGAGGAGCUGCUAGUGUUACAGGUAAGCCAGGUCAGGCAGUACAGCCUCUAGGGACUCUCUAAGCCAAGAAAGGAUGGGAAAGGAGAAGUCCUGAAAGGCUUUGGGGGCUUCCUGGCGGGGUAAGAUAGGACUGUUUUUGAAGGCAUCAAGGAGAGAAUGAACAGAGUAGACAGAAAGGAGGCUCAGGCCGAAAAGGGAUGAUGGGAAAAUCCACGUCCUCUGCUUCCUUUCACUGUCCCUCAGGUCCAGGCCUUUUUUGGGGCUACAGUUCCAUAAGAAGCCGAUUCCAGGGAGCUCUUUGGAGAGAGGCUGCACUAUCAAUCUGGAGACCUGAGUUGGAGUAUUGACUCUGCCCUUCUCUCUCUGUGUGAACUUGGCCACUUACCCUCCUUGGGCAUCAAGUGACAUAGGACACCAGAAUAUGCCAGAAUUCCCCUUUUGGAUUUCGUGGAACUGAAGCCUGAUCAGAUGAAAAAUUUACUCUAUUGAGCCAGCAAUGGGACUGCAAAAAGGACUCCUCCCCUUUCAAAUGUGGCUGGGGAAGGGUAGGAGCCUGAGAUCUUCUCCAGAUAAGUAUGGGGUAAACCGCAAAAGAAGCAGAAGGUUUAACUCCGAGGAGCUGGCAAAGGGGGAUGUGAUCGGCAGCGUCUCUAGUGACACCUUCCCCUGGGCUGGGCUAAGAUUCUGUCACCACCUGAUGACUUUCAGGAUCUCAUCUGGCUACUGCCCAGAGAUGAAAAAUGUUGCCAGUCCAUUCCUAGGGAAUAGCCAUUCCUUCCUUCCCUUUCCCUGGAGAGGGUAUCUCAAUGCUUCCUGCUUCUCUGGGCGCCCAAAUACCUGGGCUCCCUUCCUGCGAACCUCGCGCCUCGCCUUAGAGCCCCCUUGGGAAUGGGGUGGUAAGGUUCAAAGAAGUCAUUCCCCAGCAGUGCUCUAGGUACUCUGUGCCCCAGAUCUUCUCCCUCCUCCAGUCCCCCCAUCGGCCUCCUCCAACCGCAGUGGGGAGGGA